AGAGUUUGAUCAUGGCUCAGGACGAACGCUGGCGGCGUGCUUAACACAUGCAAGUCGAACGCUCCUGGAGGUUGGGAGUUAGAGGUUAGAAGUUAGAUUAAGAAGGAAUUCGCCGAAGGCGAAUUCUCACACAAUCUAACAUCUAAUUUCCAACUUCCAACCUCUAAGGGGAGUGGCGGACGGGUGAGUAACGCGUGGGCAAUCUGCCCGUAAGAGGGGGAUAACAUCGGGAAACCGGUGCUAAUACCGCAUAAUAUCUGUAUACCGCAUGGUAGGCAGAUUAAAGGAGCGAUCCGCUUACGGAUGAGCCCGCGUCUGAUUAGCUAGUUGGUAGGGUAACGGCCUACCAAGGCGACGAUCAGUAGCCGGCCUGAGAGGGUGACCGGCCACACUGGAACUGAGACACGGUCCAGACUCCUACGGGAGGCAGCAGUGGGGAAUCUUCCGCAAUGGGCGAAAGCCUGACGGAGCAACGCCGCGUGAGCGAAGAAGGCCUUCGGGUUGUAAAGCUCUGUCAUCAGGGAAGAAGAGAGUGACGGUACCUGAGGAGGAAGCCACGGCUAACUACGUGCCAGCAGCCGCGGUAAUACGUAGGUGGCAAGCGUUGUCCGGAAUUACUGGGCGUAAAGAGCGCGUAGGCGGGCGCUUAAGUCAGGGGUGAAAACUGGCAGCUCAACUGCCAGCCUGCCUUUGAGACUGGGCGUCUUGAGGACAGGAGAGGAGAGCGGAAUUCCUAGUGUAGCGGUGAAAUGCGUAGAUAUUAGGAGGAACACCAGUGGCGAAGGCGGCUCUCUGGCCUGUAACUGACGCUGAGGCGCGAAAGCGUGGGGAGCGAACGGGAUUAGAUACCCCGGUAGUCCACGCCGUAAACGAUGGGUACUAGGUGUAGGAGGUAUCGACCCCUUCUGUGCCGUAGUUAACACAAUAAGUACCCCGCCUGGGGAGUACGGCCGCAAGGUUGAAACUCAAAGGAAUUGACGGGG
rnacentral:rRNA from 1 species